rnacentral:tRNA from 1 species
GCCGCCUUAGUUCAGUGGUUUAGAACACUCCCCUGGUACGGGAGAGGUCCUGGGUUCGAUUCCCAGAGGCGGCAC